ensembl:snRNA U6 U6 spliceosomal RNA
UUGCUCACUUUGGCAGCACAUGCACUAAAACUGGAAGGAUACAGAGAAAAUUAGCAUGGCUCCUGCACAACAAUGACACACAAAUUUGUGAAGCAUUCAUUU